CCUGGCUCAGAUUGAACGCUGGCGGCAUGCCCAACACAUGCAAGUCGAACGGCAGCACGACCUAGCUUGCUAGGUGGGUGGCGAGUGGCGGACGGGUGAGUAACGCGUAGGAGUAUACCUUAAAGAGGGGGACAACUUGGGGAAACUCAAGCUAAUACCGCAUAAGCUCUGAGGAGUAAAGCUGGGGACCGCAAGGCCUGGCGCUUUAAGAUUAGCCU
rnacentral:rRNA from 1 species